rnacentral:tRNA from 1 species
UAAGCUUUAAGUUAUAUAAACUUAGGGCCUUCAAAGCCCUCAAAGAAAAUUUUUCAAGCUUUG